ensembl:snoRNA
GGCCUUUCUCUCUUGGGGCUGUGGAGGGUCCGUAUCUCCUCAGCCAAGGAUGGAGGCCAACAGACCCUGAGGAUCACUGUGAGGACUGCCAUGAGCGGGCAGCCUUGUUUUCCUGCCUUAGACAAUU